rnacentral:rRNA from 1 species
GACGAACGCUGGCGGCGUGCCUAAUACAUGCGAGUAGAACGCACAGUUUAUACCGUAGCUUGCUACACCAUAGACUGUGAGUUGCGAACGGGUGAGUAACGCGUAGGUAACCUGCCUGGUAGCGGGGGAUAACUAUUGGAAACGAUAGCUAAUACCGCAUAAUAUUAAUUAUUGCAUGAUAAUUAAUUGAAAGGUGCAAUUGCACCACCACCAGAUGGACCUGCGUUGUAUUAGCUAGUAGGUGAGGUAACGGCUCACCUAGGCGACGAUACAUAGCCGACCUGAGAGGGUGAUCGGCCACACUGGGACUGAGACACGGCCCAGACUCCUACGGGAGGCAGCAGUAGGGAAUCUUCGGCAAUGGACGAAAGUCUGACCGAGCAACGCCGCGUGAGUGAAGAAGGUUUUCGGAUCGUAAAGCUCUGUUGUAAGAGAAGAACGGGUGUGAGAGUGGAAAGUUCACACUGUGACGGUAUCUUACCAGAAAGGGACGGCUAACUACGUG